rnacentral:rRNA from 1 species
AUGGCGGCGAACGGGCAUCAGAUCCAGCCGGCGGAGGAGGCGAUGAAGCUCAUCAUCGACACCGAUCCCGGCAUAGACGACAGCGUGGCGAUCAUGAUGGCGUUCCAAGCGCCGGGCGUGGAGGUCCUAGGGCUCACCACCAUCUUCGGCAACUGCACCACCGCAUACGCCACCCGCAACGCCUUGAUACUGUGUGAGAAGGCAGGCCGCCCCGACGUGCCGGUGGCGGAGGGCAGCGCCGAGCCUCUCAAGGGAGGGAAGCCGCAAGUUGCCGACUUUGUUCACGGAUCCGAUGGCCUCGGGAACGUAUCAGUUCCUGAACCUACCACCAAGAAAGCAGAGCAAACCGCCGCAGAGUUUCUGGUCGACAAGGUGUCGCAGUUCCCCGGGGAGGUCUCGGUGCUCGCCUUGGGCCCUCUGACCAACCUCGCAUUGGCCAUCAAGAUGGACCCCUCCUUUGUGAGCAAGGUGAAGAAGAUAGUGGUGCUGGGUGGAGCCUUCUUUGCAGCAGGGAAUGCCACCCCUUCAGCCGAGGCAAACAUCCACAGCGACCCAGAGGCGGCGGACAUGGUGUUCACGUCGGGCGCGGACAUCGCCGUGGUCGGCCUCAACAUCACCACCCAGGUGAGCUUCACGGAGGCGGACCUGUCGGAGCUGAGGAGGUCCGGGGGCAAGCAGGCGCAGUUCCUCUGCGACAUCUGCAAGUUCUACAGCGACUGGCACCUCCACUCGUACGGCGACCCCGCCGUGUUCCUGCACGACCCGGUGAGCCUCGCGGCGCUGGUCCGGCCGGAGCUCUUCACGUUCAGGAAGGGCGUGGUGCGGGUGGAGACCCAGGGCAUCUGCAGAGGCCACACCUCCAUGGACAUGGGGCUCAAGAAGUUCAAGUCGGAGAACGCGUGGUCGGGCUACACGCCCAUCUCGGUGGCGUGGACGGUGGACAAGGCCAAGGUGGUCGCCUUCGUCAAGGAGCUCCUCAAAAAUUAA